GUAAUAUUACCCCCUAUAGCGUGAAAUCAACUUGAUGGUGUGAUGAAUGGAAACAAAUGGCUGUUGGCAACAAAGGAGAAACUCAAUGCAGCUCAGCAGAGCUAAACAUCAGUCAGCUUUUAUGGAAAGGUUCUGACCUUUCAUUUCCUUGGUGACCGCCGUGAUGUCAUCACCUCUUGUCGUCAUUCAUUGUUGUCAUCAUCCUCUUCUGCCGCCAGCUGUCUGUCUCUCGCAUCCACAUUGGGGAUCGCUGGGUUGACAAUUAAGAAGAGCGGUAACAUCAAAGCAUUGAGGUGGAUAAAAACACAGUUUAUGUGUCUGUGUGAGUCAAUGAUGGG